rnacentral:piRNA from 1 species
UCAGCCAAUGAGACAUCAGGGAGGGCCCGC